CGGAGUUUGAGCGAGCAGGGAGGCCGGGCAGAAAGUUCCUACCCUCCUGAGGGAAGAAACAGAAACCAGCCAAAGGGUGGUAUCUGUGGCUUGCUGUGAUACAGAGAAAGAUUGAAGUGCUUACUCCAGAGACGUGCCAGCUCCUCUGUCAUGAGAAAAUUCAAGCAUCAAAUGGAAAGGCCCCACAGGUGAGAAAUUGAGGAUUCUGGCCGACAGCCAGC